rnacentral:rRNA from 1 species
UACGAACGCCGCAAGCGUUGCCCGGAGUUAUUGGGCGUAAAGCGUGUGUAGGCGGUGGUCUUAGUCUUCUGUGAAAACUCCUGGCUUAACCGGGAAGAUGCGUGAGAAACGGUGCCGCUAGAGGGUGGGAGAGGUACAUGGAACUCAUAGUGUAGGGGUGAUAUGCGUUGAUAUUAUGGGGAAGACCAAAGGGGAAGGCAGUAGACUGGCGCAUGCCUGACACUGAGGCGCGACAGCGUGGGGAGCGAAUGGG